CCUACGGGGGGCAGCAGUGGGGAAUAUUGGGCAAUGGGCGCAAGCCUGACCCAGCAACGCCGCGUGAAGGAAGAAGGCUUUCGGGUUGUAAACUUCUUUUCUGAGGGACGAAGAAAGUGACGGUACUUCAGGAAUAAGCCACGGCUAACUACGUGCCAGCAGCCGCGGUAAUACGUAGGUGGCAAGCGUUAUCCGGAUUUAUUGGGUGUAAAGGGCGUGUAGGCGGGAAAGCAAGUCAGAUGUGAAAACUCAGGGCUCAACCCUGGGCCUGCAUUUGAAACUGUUUUUCUUGAGUUCUGGGGAGGCAAUCGGAAUGCCGUGUGUAGCGGUGAAAUGCGUAGAUAUACGGAGGAACACCAGUGGCGAAGGCGGAUUGCUGGACAGUAACUGACGCUGAGGCGCGAAAGCGUGGGGAGCAAACAGGAUUAGAUACCCCAGUAGUC
rnacentral:rRNA from 1 species